rnacentral:rRNA from 1 species
CAGUAGCCGCGGUAAUACGAAGGGUGCAAGCGUUAAUCGGAAUUACUGGGCGUAAAGCGUGCGUAGGCGGUGAGUUAAGUCUGCUGUGAAAUCCCCGGGCUCAACCUGGGAAUGGCAGUGGAUACUGGAUCACUAGAGUGUGGUAGAGGAUGGUGGAAUUUCCGGUGUAGCAGUGAAAUGCGUAGAGAUCGGAAGGAACACCUGUGGCGAAGGCGACUAUCUGGGCCAACACUGACACUGAGGCACGAAAGCGUGGGGAGCAAACAGGAUUAGAUACCCGUGUAGUCCCUGUCUCUUAUAC